AACGAACGCUGGCGGCGUGCCUAAGACAUGCAAGUCGAACGAGAAAGCCACCUUCGGGUGGCGAGUACAGUGGCGCACGGGUGAGUAACGCGUGGGUAAUCUGCCCUCGGGUCUGGGAUAACCCCGGGAAACUGGAGCUAAUACCGGAUGAGACCACGAGCACCUCGGUGCUCGCGGGAAAAGGUGGCCUCUCGACGAAGCCACUGCCUGAGGAUGAGCCUGCGUCGCAUAGCUUGUUGUGGGUAACGGCUACCAAGGCAUCGAUGCGUAGCUGGUCUGAGAGGACGACCAGCCACACUGGAACUGAGACACGGUCCAGACUCCUACGGGAGGCAGCAGUCGGGAAUUUUGGGCAAUGGGGAAACCCUGACCCAGCAACGCCGCGUGAGGGAUGAAGGCCUUCGGUC
rnacentral:rRNA from 1 species